UACGUAGGGGGCUAGCGUUGUCCGGAUUUAUUGGGCGUAAAGAGCGUGUAGGCGGCCAGGUAGGUCCGUUGUGAAAACUCGAGGCUCAACCUCGAGACGUCGGCGGAAACCAUCUGGCUAGAGUCCGGAAGAGGAGAGUGGAAUUCCUGGUGUAGCGGUGAAAUGCGCAGAUAUCAGGAAGAACACCCGUGGCGAAGGCGGCUCUCUGGGACGGUACUGACGCUGAGGAGCGAAAGCGUGGGUAGCAAACAGG
rnacentral:rRNA from 1 species